rnacentral:rRNA from 1 species
GUAGGUGGCAAGCGUUGUCCGGAAUUAUUGGGCGUAAAGCGCGCGCAGGCGGUCCUUUAAGUCUGGUGUGAAAGCCCACGGCUCAACCGUGGAGGGUCAUUGGAAACUGGGGGACUUGAGUACAGAAGAGGAAAGCGGAAUUCCAAGUGUAGCGGUGAAAUGCGUAGAGAUUUGGAGGAACACCAGUGGCGAAGGCGGCUUUCUGGUCUGUAACUGACGCUGAGGCGCGAAAGCGUGGGGAGCAAACAGGAUUAGAUACCCUGGUAGUCCACGCCGUAAACGAUGAGUGCUAAGUGUUAGGGGGUUUCCCGCCCCCCUUAGUGCUGCAGCUAACGCAUUAAGCACUCCGCCUGGGGGAGUACGGCCCGCAAGGCUG